rnacentral:misc_RNA from 1 species
GAUAAAGAACGUAGCGAAAUGCGAUAAGUAAUGCGAAUUGCAGAAUUCAGUGAAUCAUCGAAUCUUUGAACGCACAUUGCGCCCGCUAGUAUUCUGGCGGGCAUGCCUGUCUGAGCGUCAUUUCAACCCUCGCCCCCGGCUUUUGCUGGGAGCGGUGUUGGGGAUCGGCCGCCCGUCACUGGGAGGCCGGCCCCGAAAUAGAGUGGCGACCACGCCGUGUGCUCCUCUGCGUAGUAGUAAAUCACCUCGCAGGCGGACAGCGGUGCGGCCUGCCGUAAAACCCCCAACUCUUUCUGGUUGACCUCAGAUCAGGUAGGAAUACCCGCUGAACUUAAGCAUAUCAAUAAGCGGAGGA